rnacentral:rRNA from 1 species
ACGCGUAGGUAACCUGCCUUGUAGCGGGGGAUAACUAUUGGAAACGAUAGCUAAUACCGCAUAACAAUGGAUGACACAUGUCAUUUAUUUGAAAAGGGGCAAUUGCUCCACUACAAGAUGGACCUGCGUUGUAUUAGCUAGUAGGUGAGGUAACGGCUCACCUAGGCGACGAUACAUAGCCGACCUGAGAGGGUGAUCGGCCACACUGGGACUGAGACACGGCCCAGACUCCUACGGGAGGCAGCAUG